CAGUAGCCGCGGGAAUACGGAGGGUGCAAGCGUUAAUCGGAAUUACUGGGCGUAAAGCGUGCGUAGGCGGUGAGUUAAGUCUGCUGUGAAAUCCCCGGGCUCAACCUGGGAAUGGCAGUGGAUACUGGCUCGCUAGAGUGUGUCAGAGGAUGGUGGAAUUCCCGGUGUAGCGAUGAAAUGCGUAGAGAUCGGGAGGAACAUCAGUGGCGAAGGCGGCCAUCUGGGACAACACUGACGCUGAGGCACGAAAGCGUGGGGAGCAAACAGGAUUAGAUACCCGGGUAGUCCCUGUCUCUUAUAC
rnacentral:rRNA from 1 species